GACGAACGCUGGCGGCGUGCUUAACACAUGCAAGUCGAACGGAAAGGCCCUGCUUUUGUGGGGUGCUCGAGGGGCGAACGGGUGAGUAACACGUGAGUAACCUGCCCUUGACUUUGGGAUAACUUCAUGCAACUGGGGCUCAUACCGGAUAGGAGCUCCUGCUGCAUGGUGGGGGUUGGAAAGUUUAGGCGGUUGGGGAUGGACUCGCGGCUUAUCAGCUUGUUGGUGGGGUAGUGGCUUACCAAGGCUUUGCCGGGUAGCCGUCCCGAGCGUGUGACGGGCCACAUCCGGACUGAGAUACGGACCAGACCCCGACUGGAAGGAGAGGUGGGAAUGAUUGCACAAUGGGCGGGAGGCUGACGCAGCACUGGCGAGUGCGGGAUGGCGGCCUUCGGGUUGGGAAUCGAUUUCGCCUGUGACGAAGCGUGAGUGACGGUAAUGGGUAAAGAAGGACCGGCUAACUACGUG
rnacentral:rRNA from 1 species